rnacentral:rRNA from 1 species
CGCCUCUUGCAUUCUAUGUAUAAGAGGUCCCGCCUGCCCUGUGACUAUAUGUUUAACGGCCGCGGUAUUUUGACCGUGCAAAGGUAGCGCAAUCACUUGUCUUUUAAAUAAAGACCUGUAUGAAUGGCAUGACGAGGGCUUAACUGUCUCCUUCUCCCGGUCAAUGAAAUUGAUCUCCCCGUGCAGAAGCGGGGAUAUUAUUAUAAGACGAGAAGACCCUGUGGAGCUUUAAAUGAUGAGAGAUUUUAUGCAACAAACCUAAAAAGGUAUAAGCGAAUUUAUACUCCCUCUAAUAUUUUUGGUUGGGGCGACCGCGGAGUAAAAAGAAACCUCCGUGAGGAAUGAGGCAAUUAACCUUAAAUCCCAGAACGACAAUUCAAAGAAACAAAAUUUUUGACCUAAAGAUCCGGCAAAGCCGAUCAACGAACCUAGUUACCCCAGGGAUAACAGCGCAAUCCCCUUCAAGAGUCCCUAUCGACAAGGGGGUUUACGACCUCGAUGUUGGAUCAGGAUAUCCUAAUGGUGUAGCCGCUAUUAAGGGUUCGU